rnacentral:rRNA from 1 species
UACGUAGGGUCCAAGCGUUAUCCGGAAUCACUGGGCGUAAAGCGUGCGUAGGCGGAUGUUUAAGUGCAAUGCGAAAUCCUGUGGCUCAACCAUAUGGACUGUAUUGCAUACUGGAUAUCUGGAGGAAUGCAGAGGCAAGUGGAAUUACCGGUGUAGCAGUGAAAUGCGUAGAGAUCGGUAGGAACACCAAUGGCGAAGGCAGCUUGCUGGGCAUUUUCUGACGCUAAGGCACGAAAGCGUGGGGAGCGAACAGG